rnacentral:rRNA from 1 species
UACGGAGGGUGCAAGCGUUAUCCGGAUUUACUGGGUUUAAAGGGUGCGCAGGCGGAUAUGUAAGUCAGUGGUGAAAUCUCUAGGCUUAACCUGGAAAUUGCCGUUGAUACUAUAUAUCUUGAAUGUUGUGGAGGUAAGCAGAAUAUGUCAUGUAGCGGUGAAAUGCUUAGAUAUGACAUAGAAUACCUAUUGCGAAGGCAGCUCGCUAAACUGUAACUGACGCUGAGGCACGAAAGCGUGGGUAGCAAACAGG